rnacentral:tRNA from 6 species
GGCCCGGUAGUUCAGUUGGUUAGAAUGCCAGCCUGUCACGCUGGAGGUCAGGGGUUCGAGCCCCCUCCGGGUCGCCA